GAGACUUCAGAAUGUUACGGAUCAUUAAUGCAGCAUCUUGUUUUGAGUAAUGGCGCCUCCUAACAAUCCAGAAUUCUAUCAUACAGGCAAGUUUCUACAUAAAUUAAGAUCCCUGAUGCCUUCUAUGUCGUACUGCCCAACUCAUCCGUGGCUACCUUGCGCAGAGGUCUGCUCAGCAUUUAUUGUCCCUCAGGUGUUUCUGGCCAGCGGCAGAGCCAGUCAAAAAUUCUGAUACAUCUGUACUGGAAAGAUGGUGGAAAAUUUUUGUCCGUUAACAACAGAAAAGAUAUUAGAAUUAGAGAAAACCAGAAAAAAAAUCAACUGAAGAGAAUGUGUGUGUGUGAGUGCGCUUGUGCACGAGCAUGCACACAUGCAUGAAGGGAUAUGGGAAUCAUAAUGUCACAAUCAACUUCUUCAGAAAUUCCUCCCAAAUGAAUUUAAAGUUGGCAUAUGCUGGAUUCCAGGCUGCACACUGAUGAAGCUGAAACCAUAGCACGUUUUCUGUUUUUCUACACCUUUUGUUUUACCACCUUCUAAUGGAUAACAUUGACUUGGAAUUCACUUCUACAUUCACUUGGAAUGGCCUAUGCCUCUUAACUCAUAUGGAAUUGGUUGUAAUACGUGCUUUGAUUUGAGAGAUGAUUUUGCAUGUUAGCAGAUUUUUGAAUUGUAAACCCGUUAUUCCUUUGCAUAUAGGCUAGUUCUAGGGAUUUGCUUGAGUUUCUUAAAUUUUGCAAGAGUGGAGCUGAUGUUGUGAUAAACUUAUGUUUUCUGUUGAUUCUCUUCAACUUGAAGAAGUGAGUCAUGGAAGAUUUGGGGUUAGAAAAAUCACAACUCUGGGGGAGCUGAAGAAACAAAUCAUUUCUGGCAGAAGAUGUGUUUGUCUUUAUCUACUGAAGGAGGAAUCCAGGUUCUAGCUAGGUACCAAGGUUAAACGCUUCUGGCUGGAACUGAGCAGAAUACAGAAUAAGAAGUACAAAGAGCUGAGGGAAGAGACUAUGCUUUCAUAUAUAUUUUAGGAUUUUCAUUUUCUGUGGGCCAACAGAGGAGGAGUUUACUUUAGAAAAAAAUUACAUGGAUAAUGUGAAGAGUUUUUUAUUACUAAAAUUUCAGAUAUUUGGGCAAAUAUCAUGAGACUUGGGCAUUUAUAUGUGUGAGGGUGUGUUUUCUGAGUUAUCUUUGUACUCAAUUCAUAUCUUUUAGCCCUUUCAGGUCUGCUUGGAAAACAGGAUGAAGUCACGUCGCAGACUGUGUAUGAUAUGGCCUUGGGUAACCUGGCCCACAACCCUGCCGCACGCUGCCUCAGAGUCAUUUAGUGAACUGAUUUCACAUCUGAGGGAAUACCAGCCAGAGAUGCACAGGGUUGCACAGCCCCCCGGUACAUAGUUGUAUAUUCUUCGUUGUGGGUCCUUCAAGUUGUGGCAUGUGGGAUGCUGCAUCAGCAUGGUUUGAUGAGCAGUGCCAUGUCUGCGCCCAGGAUUCGAACCAACGAAACACUAGGCCGCCCACAGCGGAGUGUGCGAACUUAACCACUGGGCCACGGGGCCAGCCGCUACAUAUUUUAUUUUUACUACUAGACUUUAGUAUUCUGAAUAUAGGAUCUCAUCAUCUUUGUAUCUUUACAGAGACUAGCAUAUAUCAUAAAAAUAAAAUAAUAUUUUUGAAAGCAUUUAAAAAAACUCGAAGGGAGCUUUAUAAAUGUGAUAAAUUGUUAUUAUUAUUAUAAUUGUCCAUAAAACUACAAUCUAUGCUCAUUAACUAUUUACUGUUAAUGACUGAAUGAAGAAAGAGAGUGUCUACAUAAAAAGGUAAGAGGAAGAUAUGGUGUUGGCGAAAAGGUAGAGUCAGAAUGAGUGAUAGGCAAAAUGAGC
ensembl:lncRNA